GCUGUGGGGCCCUGGAGACCCAAAACUUGGCAGUAGCCUUUGAGUGUUGGUUUGCCAGCCAGCCCAGCAGCUCGAGGACACGUGCCUAGCAUCCAGCAAGGCCCACGUACAGAACGAGGACUGCCAGCACGUGCCAACACGAGGAACUGGGAGGGAAAAUCAGCCAGGUUUGACUGUAACAGGUAUUGAGUAAUGUUGUCCCACUGUGCUGACGCAUGAGCCAGGGUGUGCCCCCGACCCCAGGGAGGUACUGAUGUAGUUCAGUCACAGAAUCACAGAAUAUGCUGAGUUGGAAGGGACGUCUCAGGAUCAUCGAGUCUGACUUCUUCUGGACCAGAAGUAUAAAUACAGGGAGGUGGUUUAGCUUCGCCAGUUUAAUCAAGAGCUCCAGAGCUGAACAUGCAAAAAUGAUGUGCUGCAUUUUACUGAGAAAAUAAGAGAUCUGAUCAGAAGAUCUGGCUUGUAAAUCCUCUGAGAUAUGAUCAGCCCUGGGCUGGAAUAGAAGUAAAAGUCUUGGAGGAGUAAAUUGCAGGAUUUAGAGGCUCUUAUAUCCAUGGUCUUCUCAGCUAAAUACUGAAGACUCCAAGAAAAUCCAUGUUUUACUACUAUCUCAGCGAGUGAGCUUCUCUGUGAAUCCUUUAGAUGGAGGUGAAAUGGCAAAAAAAAAUUAAAUUUUGUUCUGGGUUUCUUAAUUUCUGGGUGGGAAAACUUGUUCCUUGAAUCCAAGCACAAGGGCAGUCACCUCAACUAAGAUUUUAGAAGUAAUGAGAGUUUAACAGGAGGAAAAAUUGUGACCACCCAUCAAAAACUUGGAUGCAAGGAUGCAUGGGAUAAAACUGGGUAAAUAGAAAAAAAGAAAAACACUACAAAGCUUUCCUAAUAAUAGAUUAUGGCACACAAGCCAGACGUUUACAAAAAUGCACCAAACCCUACUUUCUAAAUCAAGGAAGUGAGCUGACCUAAUCUGACUGGAUUUCAGGAAAACAUUUGUUAGUAUGCUACUUGAAAAAAUAAAUAAACUGAGGAAGAUAACAGUUGCUAAAUUAACUCUUAAUAUGAAUAAAAGCUUGCAAAGUAGUUUGGAAGGGAAAGUCUCAAGCUAGCAGAAUGUUUAUAGUGGACUUCCUUAACAAAUGAUCUCAGACAGAUCUUACUAGUUAUUUUCACUGACUACCUUAAAUUAGGAAUGAUCAACUGAGGAUACAAAGCUGGGGUACUGCCUGCUCAAAGUGAGGCGGUAUUGGAAUAUAUAUGGGGCAGUGGAAUAUUGUAUAACAAUGGGCAUGAGAGACAUUUUACAUUUUGAGCUUGACUCAGUACCUGGAACUCUGCCUAUACCAAACUUAGGAAAAGUUCUUCAGUAUGGUAUUUUCACGAUAAGGACAAACCAAGUAGUCAAGUUUCUUAGCUGUCCCACAGGCACAGAAGUAAAAUAUACCAAAUAAAAUUGCUAUAUAAAAAUGCCACAAUACAAAUGCCAUGUAGUCAUUUCCAAGGGAAGGCAAAAAAACCCCAAAAUAAAACAAACAAAAAUAAAAUUAACAGAUUUUUGCUUGUUUUAAUUAGAGACAGUCAUAAUGUUAGCUAACUUCCACAAACACAGCAAUCAAAAUCCUCCAGAUUCAAAAGAGAAAAUUCUUAUUUUUAGAUGUUAUUCAAGAGUGCCACACAAAUCCUGUACAUCCUCCUUCUAUUUCACAAGCAUCACCUGUAAACUGGAGAUUAACCUACAAGAUAAAUAGAAACAAUAUAAUGAGACACUAAGUCCAUCUCCUCUGUUGUUCUUGUAAAAAUCUUUCAGAAUUUAGCCUCUUGCUUCCAGAGCCGUCAAAUGAAGCCAGUGUAGGACAGCGAGUCAGAAGUGCUGUACAGAUUCUGGAAGGCUUACCUGAACUAACACACAGUGAUGUGCUGCAGGUAACCUAAUCCUAGAGACAACUCUGUUUCAUGAGCCAAGCUAGCUCACCUGCAGUGCCCUGUGCUGUAUCGUGUGCGUGUGCCAGCUCACGUCCAUAGUCGUGCAAAGUGCAGAGAGUCCCAAACAAAUCUGGACAUGCCAGGAAAUUCAGGGGAAGCCCGUGGCUUGUAUGAAAGUGAUGACACCCUUUCAUAAAAAAGCCUUUUGACACCCUUGUCAUGCAAUACCAGAAUGACAGUGUAAAGGUCAAGGUCACAAGCUAGGAAUGAAGAAGUUUUGCUGUCAGUAUCCAUGAAAAAAGGGUAAAUUAGGUGUUUCAGUCAAUCCUUAAGGCUUUUGAGAUGUUGAGAGCAGGUAGGCCUAAUAUAAAAAUAAAUGCAUUAAAAAUCAGAAUAUUAGUUGCUUUGUGUCUAGGAGGCAUAGGGAAGGAAUUAAUGGCACCAUAACAGGAGGCACUGGCAACAUCUCAUCUGGAUCACUGUACUUACUUUUAACCCCACAGAUUAAAAGAGAUUUACUGGAAAUGGAGGUGCAAAGGAGGGUUAGAAGAACGGUCAGGGAAAAGCUCCCUUCUGUACGACAGGUAUGGCACAGCUGGUCUGGCUGAACCCAGGCUGAGCAGGUUUCGGCAGUAAACUGAAAAGCUCAAGGGAGGGGAGACAGGAACGGACUUUAUACCGGGAGAGAAAUGCUCUUUAAACUGAAGUCAAAGACCUUGCAGAAUGUGAGAGGUUCAGCUGGCCAUGAUACACAUGAUCUGAAAUCUUUAACCAUGCAGAGGAACAGAAAAACAGAGGCAAGGUGAUGGCAGGGGUAGCUUCAAGAUGGAGUCCAGUGUCUCUGCAUGUUAAGUUGAAGAGUGCAACACGGCUGCCUGUGAUAGAGACGAUCAGGUCCCACAGCAGAGGAGGUCUUCCCUAGCCCUGCCCACUUUGUCAAGGACAAAGCUGGCUAUGAAAGCUCUGAUUUUCAAAACGUAUCAAAUUUACCCAUUUGUCACCGGCCAGUUUAUCACCACCCGCUAUGUUAUAUUCAAUGAUAUUACACAAGAGUGUAAAUUAAUGUGAAGUGCAAUACUCCUAAUUAUUACAGUUGGGGAGCAAAUAGGGCCAUGCAUAUGCAAAUAUCUGAUUAGUCACAUUGUGGUUGUCUGUCUGUGGAAAUAUCCUGUGUGACUAUGAAAUCAUACUGCCUGCUUUGGCUUAUACAAUGAUGUGUGUUGUCGUGAGUCUUGCAUAAGGAGAAUUAGUCCUUCUGUUUUAAUAAUACUGCACCAUUCUGCUCAAUUCUGAGCCCUUAAUCUUGCAUCACAGUGAAACAUUGUAACAGCAACACGUAAUUUUCUAUUUUUCCAAUUUUCUAUUUUGUAAAAUGCUAGUUCCUGACCUCUGCUGAAUGUGUACAGUGGCCUACCUUGACACAAUAUUAGAUUAAUCUUAACUGAAAAGGGUUUCAGUGCAUCUGUAAUAGAAAAAAAAAAAAGAGUAUGACUUCACCUACCCAUGAAUUUCAGGUUUCAGUCUUCUUUUCUCAGAAGAAUGUUAUCGUCUCACUAUGACACAUUUGUAGUUUCACAAGUUGUUUGUUUUAGCCUGAGACGACCUGGCCUUAUUAGUUCCCUCUAUCCCCUCCAGUUUUGGUGGGGUCCCAAGUGCCUCUUUAGUGGUAUUGCAAAAGGAAAUCCCCAUAAACCACAUAAAUCCCAAAAAAACCUGAUGGCAAAUCUGAGAAGAUCUCUGUUCGGGCAGGCAGAGUCCUCCCUUUGCACAGCGCUGCCACGGGUGUCGAUCGCAGCCCUGCAAAGAGACAGAGGACAGCACAGCAGCCUGCAGGUUCUGCUUGCUCCCCAUGACUGAAAGGACACCCUCACCCAGAGCACUUUUUCUGUAUUUGCUCCAUAUUCAAGGGACCUUUUUGCUGGGAUUUCCAGGGCAACAUCAUCACUGUAAUUUACAGUGCUUCUGUAAUUUACAGAUGAAGGGGGAUGAAACAGAAAUGUGGUUUGGAGGACUGGGCACAAUAUGGGUUUGUGUUCACAAAGGCUGGGUACUUGCCUUUCUGCUCAGUUUAUAGGGCUAACUGUUUUCUGAAUUAUCCCUUCUUUGUUUUCAGGAGCACCAGCAAUAGAUGGAUAAAAAAUGUGUUUUUAUAAAUACCUCGACCUUUUCUCCAGAAUACGAUAAUUCCUUAUCUUAUUGUUUAUACAUAGCAAUUCAGAUUCUUCCUAAUUACGAACUAAUUUAAUUGUUAAUUUCACCUCCUUCCCCCUUUCUCAAAAUGCAGACAUAUAUAUUUUUAUGUACACACGCAUACCUCAUCAAAAUUAUUUCAGCGUAAGCGUGAAUACUGUGAACCAAAAGUUUGGCAUCCCUGCUACAGUGAAAGAUGACUGCCACCUAUGGGUAAGAGCUCAUGUUAACAUAUUUAGAUAAAAUUUUAAUAUUAUUCUUUUUAGUUAAUUCAGUUUGCAAUUAUCUGCCAGGACAGAGUUCUGAUUCAUACGCUUAUAUUUUGCCAACAACGAUCAGUGAAAAUCAUCCUUUGAAAGUUAGGUAUUAAAUCAACUUUCUUACGAAGAAACAUCAGCUUUACGACGAAUAAAAAAUGGGGUACAACAUUCUUAUUUUUCUUAUUCUGAAUAAAGACUAUAUAGAAAUACUCUAAUUCCCUAUGCAAAGAAAAAAGAGUCAUUGCUACACAGCUAGGUACAACAUAUUAGAUAAAGCUGUAUUUAAUGACGACUAUAAUUUUAAAGUUUAGCCGUCUCAAGGUUUUAAUAUUUUGCUUGCUGCUUUCUUUUACUAAAUACAUACAAACAGCUUAGCUGUGCAGUUUCAUGAAAAAGUGUGUAUAAUCAGUAUGUCAUAGUAAUUUUCUUUUCAAAAUUUUUCAUUUUUCAUAGUAAAAUGAAAGCUAAGUGGGGGGAAGGGAGGCAGUAGAAAAAUGUAUGUCCCGGUUACGUAAGCCUCAAUUUUUCUGAUAAUCAAUCUGCGCAGCAUUUACCUAGGAAACUCAAAAAAAAGUAAAGACUGGAAAGCCAAACUUAUCAUAUAAAAAAUACUUUUUUCCAAUUCACUUUUCAGGUACUUAAAAGCAAACAGCCUGACAAUUCUGUAUAUCCGACUACCAAAGAGAAAAACGCUCGAUUACGGCUGCUAUACUGUGGUAAGCUGCAUUAAAAUGGACAUUACGAUCUCUUGCUCAGAAAUACCACACGUAAAGAUUGCUGGAAGUCUAGCAAAUUAAUGCAUGUAUUUCAGUUUGGGAAAAAAUAGUUUUGCUUCAGUAAACAGAAACUAAUUGUAGCCAUUAUAUUUCUUCCUUUUGGGGCCGGGACACAGUAUUUUUGAAGGAACAAAGAUGGAACUUAACAAAAGAGAAAAUUAUAUUAAAAGAGAGAGCAACUAAUACAAAAUAAAAUGCUUCAUACUUCCCUGUGCUGCUGCAAAUCACCAUGGAAGGCUCAAGAUGGAGGGAACAGGGCCUGGGUGGCUUGUGCCUUCCUCCCACAAAGAUCACCAAAUGCUCCCGGCGCUUACUUCCGACACAUCCAAGGAGUUCUGCAACAACAGAAGGGGAAACAAGGCUUCACAGUCCUCAUCUUUCACUGAGAGGAAUAACAGCACAUCUACAGAGUGGCGUUUACCUAUUCGCUCGCGCCGUGGCUGCCACGCAACCUAUCUGGGCGGCCGGCUGGCACAGCCCGCGGUCAC